CAGUAGCCGCGGGAAUACGAAGGGGGCUAGCGUUGUUCGGAAUUACUGGGCGUAAAGCGCACGUAGGCGGACAUUUAAGUCAGGGGUGAAAUCCCGGGGCUCAACCCCGGAACUGCCUUUGAUACUGGGUGUCUAGAGUAUGGAAGAGGUGAGUGGAAUUCCGAGUGUAGAGGUGAAAUUCGUAGAUAUUCGGAGGAACACCAGUGGCGAAGGCGGCUCACUGGUCCAUUACUGACGCUGAGGUGCGAAAGCGUGGGGAGCAAACAGGAUUAGAUACCCGCGUAGUCCCUGUCUCUUAUAC
rnacentral:rRNA from 1 species